CAGAAAUAAAAUAUGAGUUUGGAAGGAUUUAACCGAAAGAGAAGGGUGCUUGCUGCUUCUGUCUGUCUUCCUCCCCGAGGCUCACUGUCUUUCCCGCUCACCUCUGCCCUCACUUCUCGUCCCCGCAGUCCCGUGCUCCUUGCGCCACGUGCUGCAAGGCAGCUUCUCUCUCUCUCGCACCAGCUGCCAAAUGGCAGCUCUCAUCUUUCUUUUUUUAUAUAUUUUCUUUUUCUCCUUCUGCCGCAAGGCAGCUGUGCUGCCAGCCUUCUGUCCUCCCUUUAUUUUCUGCAGCUGUCCUCUCCUUGUUCUGCCAGUCAAGCUGCCAAAGGCAGCUUGUGACCUCACCUCAUGCUCAAGCUGCCCCGUUUCUUUUUUUAUCUUUCCUGCACGCUGCCUUCUGUUUCAUUCUUUCCCCUUUCUUCUAAUCCGUCCUCCUUGGAUCCUUUUAGCUGUCUCUCACUCAUCUCUCCACCGCUGCCCAAAAGCAGCUUUCUCCUUUAUUCUUCUUUUUUUUUAUUUCUGGCCUCACCUCCCCGUAGCUAAGUUGUCCUCCUCUUAUUUUCUGUUAUGCCACAAAACAUGAAUCAUGAUGAUGUUUCAAACAUCAUCAUGAUUUAUUAUUAUUAUUUCUUUUAUUAAUUUUAUGUAAAAGUUGAUUUACACAGACAGGUUUAACGAAUUUAUUACAUAAAAUUUCACUUGUUCUAUUUUUAUUUUCUUUGCAUAACAAAUCCUAUAAACACAAAAAUAACGUAAAUAGCUCAAAAAUAUAAGGAACUAACUAAGAAAAGACGAGUGAAUUCGAAGUAAAAAUAUAUAUAAUAUGAUCCGAUCAAAUACCCCCACACUUAACUUUUGCUAGUCCUCGAGCAAAACAAGGAAAACAUGAAAAAGUAAUAACAUGAAAAACAUUAGCUUCCCUCUAUGUGACCCUCAUAGAAUUUCAUUCAAGAAAACAAAUCAUCAAGAACCAUAGCUAGCACCAAACAAACUAAUCCAAGUUCAUCUUCCUAAUUCAAAUAUUAGCAGUAAUCUUUAAAUCAUCCUUGAAGUGUAGUGUGUGAGAUAGCCAUGCUAAUACAAUUUCAAAUUUUUUUUUUAUAUUUUUAAAAUCAUCAUAUGCAAACUAGCGACCUUCUCACGGGAUAUGCACUCAAUCACACAUGUGUUUAGUUUUAAUGUGUUUCGCUCAAAAAAAAUCAAAUGUGAAAUUUCUACCAUAAGCUUGCAUAAAGAUCACUUGUCCACAGUCAUAAUUGCAAAACUUAAAUCAAGAGGACUUUUAUUGGAUGUAAUGAGGUUUAGGGAUAGGGUUAUUGAAACGAUAGAAUAGGAAAACACAAGUUCCAAGCUACAUUGCAAGCAAUUCUUUUCUUUAGAUUUAUAAGAACUCAAGCUCUCCAACGAUUCUUCUUAAACCUCCAACCACACCCUUAAACUGAAAAUUAAACAACUUUAAAAACAUUUUUUUUUUUUUUUCUUUUCUUUUUUCUUUUCUUCGUAUACAAUCUUUCUUUUUCUUUUUUUUAUUUUUUUUUUAUACAAACAUGAAAUACCCCCACACUUAUUUUUUUGCCAAACACCUUCAAAGUACUUUACAAACAUUUCUCAUAAGACAAUCUCGCAUUGCUCGCUUGGAAAGGGUAAGGAAAAAAUGUUUCAGGUGUAAGGGUAGACAUAUCUGGUGAUAAGAAAUAAAAGGUUCAACAUACACGGCUCAAAUUGGCAAUCUAAUGAUAUCAUUUUUCUUUGGGAAACAUGGUUAUUUGGGCCAUGGUGGUAAACCUAAUGCCUCUAUCAUUUCCAAGUUCAUGCAAUCAAUGAUAAACAUUUCGAAAGAUCGUUACGCAAGUUCUAGAGAUAUAUCUCACAUAAGUUCAUCACACAUGAAAGAAUAGGAGUGUAUGAAAAAUGCACACACUUUCAAUAGGCUCAAAAACUCACAUGGGAUGUAUAUGGUCACUAAAUUCACAUAUGAAGCUUUAAGUCAUGCUUUAGUUUCACAUCAACAAGGCUAUGUGCAUUUGGUUUUUCAAAGAUGAUCAAACAUAUACAAAACUAACAAGAGAAUUAGGAACUUCAUAAAACAUAUGUUAACUAAGUUCUUGAUGAUCAUGAUUCAAAUUUGAUCUAAUUAUAUCAUUGGGUCGGGAAACUAACAAAAAAUCUAAUUCAAAACAAUAAGGGAAACAAGACAAUAUUUUUGGAUUUUUUAAAUUUUCCGAUUUUUUUUUUUUUUUUUUAUAGAGAAAACAAAACUAAAAAAAAUUAAAAAAUAAAAAGCAACAACACAGAAACAAAUGAAAUUCUAGAGAUUUCUACCCCCACACUUAAACUUGACAUUGUCCCCAAUGUCAGAAAACACUAUAAUGCAAAAAUAAAUAAAAUAAACAAAAUAAUAAAAAAAAACAAAAUAAAGCAAUUGGACUGAAAACUUCCCUAAUUUGCAGUAAAAUCAAGCGAUGACCCUCAAGCUAAAAUUCUGCAAUCAACUUCAAGGGUGGAAAUAACCAAAAGUUCCUGCAAAGAAAAGGAAAAAUUCAGUUAAGUACGCAAGAAAAUUAAUUAAAAAAAAUAUUGCAAACGAAAAAUUGAAAAUUACGAUAAAAGAUAAUGAAUAAAACUAAUAAAUAAUCAUUGGUCGUGCUUGUUGACUUUCCACAGCUUUCCUCUUGAACAGGGUGACACUUAGCUUUUUACUUGCAAGUGAUGAUUUGAUGAUAUUGUACGGCGAAGCUUUGCUCUUUGGUUAUGUUGCAGUUCCUUAUUUGUUCUCCAAGCAGAUGUGGCAGCUUCUCUAGUUCCUCAGUUCGGACUCCUUCCGCUGGGAUGAUUGUGCAAGCUGCAUUCUUCUCUGCUUGUUUCUUCUGCACAACGGGCAGGCACGAGGGAAAAGGUGUUGGUCCUUAUUUCUUUCUUCAAUCUUUCCAAGUGCCCACCUCUUGCUUUCUUUCUCCUUGUCCCUAGCUGAAUUGUCUCCACAUGCUUCGAGGUAUCAUUUUCACUUCCCUUACUGUCCCCCAGGCAGAUGUGGUAGACGAAGAGAAAGCAUAAAAUGAAGAAGAUGAGUACUCGAGAGCAAGGCUAGGUAAGCAAUCAGGAAAGGGUUCCAGGCAGUUGGCUCCAGAUUGGAAGAUUGAUACCAAAUGCUGGCUGAUUGCUCUCUUUCUCCUUGUCGGAAAACAAAGACAAGGAGAAGGACAUGGAGAAAGCAUGAUAUGAGAUACUCUUGCUUUCAACCUUUAUGAUAUGAAAUACUUUUGCUUUGAAUAGGUUGUUCGCAGGAGUAUCCCAAGGAAUGAGGAACACAGAGUGACUCGAGAGGAUUCUUUGGGAAUGCAUUUUCGGAGAUGAAGAGGUGCUGAGAGGGUGUGCUGAGAGAGUGUGCUUUUGCUGUGGAAGGCGAAGGUAGAAACUUAUAGGACUUGUCUUCACAACCGGAACUGUUCUCUCACUUAGUGUCGGCAGCCGGUGGAUGGGUGAAGAAUACAAAUUACGCGCUUUCUGACAAAGCUGCCCGUAAUUUCCGCAAAGCUGAUUCCUCAUUGAUAUCUGUAAUCGGCGCUUCGAGCUCUGAGCAUCGUCGAUUGUAGAGGUAGCAUGUGACACGUGCGGAUAAAUCUGGAAAAGAAGAUUUUCCCGUGGGUUGAAGCCCAGCUUUUUGAGAAAGCUAGCGUGUCUUUGACUGUUGAAUUUCCCUCUUCGAUUUCUGAAUUGGUGCUUCGACAAAUUGCCCGAGAUUUCCGCAAAGCAAAUUUGCGUGUGACAAGUGACGACACGUCUGGACAAAUUGAUCUUUUGAAAUCCGGGGUUCGGCUCGUGGUUUCUGAGCAAGCCCAGCCUUUAAGAAAUGAAACGCCUCUUUUGAGAAAAGAAUCCGGCUUUUUGAGAAAGGAAACUCCUCUUUUGAGAAAAGAAUCAGACGUUUGAGAACGGAGCCCCGACUCUUCGAUUUGCGAGAGGACGCUUCUCUGAGGAGCGCCUCUUUGAUUUCUUCCUUUUUAUAGAGACGUUAAGCUUGUUCCACAACACACUUGAGUACCCUCCCGUAAACACUCCCUUCUUGCACUUGUUUAAUCUUGAUCAUUCCGACUCUCUUCUGUCUUUACCACCUCUGAAAAAUGUCUGGCCCUUCUGAUCGUCGUUUUGACUUGAACAUUGGUGAAGAGGCAGCUUCGCCUUCACCAGACAACAUAUGGCGGCCAUCCUUCAUAUCCCCUACCGGUCCCCUUACCGUGGGGGAUUCGAUGAUGAAAAAUGACAUGACCGCUGCGGUGGUGGCCCGAAACCUUGUCACUCCCAGAGAUAACAGACUGCUCGCAAGGCGGUCUGAUGAAUUGGCAGUCAAGGAGUCUCUGGCUCUCAGUGUGCAGUGUGCGGGUUCCGUAUCCAACAUGGCCCAACGCCUAUAUGCCCGAACCCGUCACGUUGAAUCCUUGGUGGCUGAAAUACAGAGUCUCAAGCAAGAGAUUAAAGGGCUCAAGCAUGAGAAUAAGGAAUUGCACAAGCUCGCACACAGCUAUGCCACCAGCAUGAAGAGGAAGAUUGACCAGAUGCAGGACACCGAUGGUCAAAUUUUACUUGAUCAUCGGAGGUUUGUGGGUUUGUUCCAACCGCAUCUGCCUUCGUCUUCUGGGGCGGCACCGCGUAGUGAAGCUCCAACUGAUCAACCUCUGCCGCCUCCUCCUUCUGUGGCCCCGCCGACUGCUGAAGCCCCGCCUACUACUGAAGCACCACCCGACCAAUGAAUACUAUUAGUUUACAUCAUUGUAAAAUAUUUGUACUUUUUUUUUUUUUUUUUUUUUUUUUUUUUUUUUUUUUUUUUUUUUUUAUUUAAUUUUUUUUUUUUUUUUUUUUUUUUUUUUUCAUUAAUUUUAAAUUUUAUCUUUUUUUUUUUUUUUUUUUUGUAAAUUAAAGUAGAAAGACUUUGGUUAACCUUCCCCCACACUUAAACUAAAUAACACAAACUCACAGAAAUCAAACAAAUAACACAACUAACUAAACAAAACAAAAUGAAAGCAGUAAAGAUAAGGGUGUAAAAAUGCAAAUCUGAUUGGGUUAGCGAUUCCAAAGUCUCCCUUCGUUGAAUGCUUGGGUUGCCUCCCAAGAAGCGCUUGAUUUAACGUCUUUAGCCGGACGCAUCUUUCCUUUAAAUUUCCCUCAGCUCCAUUUGUGCCUAAAAUCAAAGAAAGAAAAAUAAAUCAAAUAUCAAAAGUAAAAUACACAAACACCAAUAUAAACAUAAACAAAAACAAAAAUAAAAGGAUUAGCAAAGUUACUAAUCCCCGGCAACGGCGCCAAAAUUUGAUGCGUAAAAUUACUUGACACACAAAUUAAACCCUCUUUUUGACAAUUGUAGUAUAGAUGUAAGUAGGGUAUCGUUCUAGGCCGGGGAUUAGGAGGGAUUGCUAAUCUAUUCUAAAUUAAUUUAAAAAUAUUAAAUAAGACUCAAGGACACAAAAUUAGGCUAAAAACUCUAAUAACUCGAAACACACUUAAAAUGACUCAAAAUAAUGAAAACAAUUAAAUUAAACACUAGGAACUGAAAUGGACGGAAAUUAAAUUAAAAGACUAACAAUAAAGAAAACUAACUAAAUAAUAUAAUUUAAUAAUGGAUGGGUGUUUGGUUUUGAUGAAAAGUAAAUUAAACUUAAUUAAAUUACAGAAUUGAUAAAAACAUAAAAUUAAGGUAAAAUGAUAAAUGACGGACUAGCUAGAGGGUUCUUCUCCACACAUGUUAUACUUGCAUACAAAAUGAUUUCCAGUUGUUCAUUUAAUAAAUUGUGAAUCUCAAUACUCCAGAUUAACCGUGAACAGCACUUUUUUAAUCUUCAAGUUUUCCUUAAGUUAUUGAAUUGGACGGGAAAACGCAUACAACAAUUCAAAACAUUCUUCAAAAGUCCCCUACGUGAAAAGCACAAUAGAGAUACAAUCAAAGAUCAUUAAACUUUGUGAAAACUAUAAGCAUUGACGAGGCAUUCGUAACUAUGAAAAGCAUGAUACUCUUGCCAAGAAUUUACUUAACGUGAUUGUGACUAGCAACCUUUACUACUUGUGAAAAUAAGUUCAUAACGAUUAGGUGAAAUUCACUUAUAUUCUAGCAUCAAAUUCAUGCAUGUAAAUUAAGCGUGCACUCUCAACCAACAUACACAAAUCAGUUUUUAUACGAACGGAUAAGUAAAUUGAAUUCACAACUUAUAACUCACAACUGAAGAUAAUCAAUUCAUAUUACAAAUAUAUUCAUGGUUUCGAAUUAACCUCUAACCAACAUAAAUUUAAUUACACAUUAUUAAAAACAGAAAUAAAAUAUGAGUUUGGAAGGAUUUAACCGAAAGAGAAGGGUGCUUGCUGCUUCUGUCUGUCUUCCUCCCCGAGGCUCACUGUCUUUCCCGCUCACCUCUGCCCUCACUUCUCGUCCCCGCAGUCCCGUGCUCCUUGCGCCACGUGCUGCAAGGCAGCUUCUCUCUCUCUCGCACCAGCUGCCAAAUGGCAGCUCUCAUCUUUCUUUUUUAUAUAUUUUCUUUUUCUCCUUCUGCCGCAAGGCAGCUGUGCUGCCAGCCUUCUGUCCUCCCUUUAUUUUCUGCAGCUGUCCUCUCCUUGUUCUGCCAGUCAAGCUGCCAAAGGCAGCUUGUGACCUCACCUCAUGCUCAAGCUGCCCCGUUUCUUUUUUUAUCUUUCCUGCACGCUGCCUUCUGUUUCAUUCUUUCCCCUUUCUUCUAAUCCGUCCUCCUUGGAUCCUUUUAGCUGUCUCUCACUCAUCUCUCCACCGCUGCCCAAAAGCAGCUUUCUCCUUUAUUCUUCUUUUUUUUUAUUUCUGGCCUCACCUCCCCGUAGCUAAGUUGUCCUCCUCUUAUUUUCUGUUAUGCCACAAAACAUGAAUCAUGAUGAUGUUUCAAACAUCAUCAUGAUUUAUUAUUAUUAUUUCUUUUAUUAAUUUUAUGUAAAAGUUGAUUUACACAGACAGGUUUAACGAAUUUAUUACAUAAAAUUUCACUUGUUCUAUUUUUAUUUUCUUUGCAUAACAAAUCCUAUAAACACAAAAAUAACGUAAAUAGCUCAAAAAUAUAAGGAACUAACUAAGAAAAGACGAGUGAAUUCGAAGUAAAAAUA
rnacentral:lncRNA from 1 species